AUUGAACGCUGGCGGCAGGCCUAACACAUGCAAGUCGAGCGGCAGCGGGAAAGUAGCUUGCUACUUUUGCCGGCGAGCGGCGGACGGGUGAGUAAUGCCUGGGAAAUUGCCCAGUCGAGGGGGAUAACAGUUGGAAACGACUGCUAAUACCGCAUACGCCCUACGGGGAAAGCAGGGGACCUUCGGGCCUUGCGCGAUUGGAUAUGCCCAGGUGGGAUUAGCUAGUUGGUGAGGUAAUGGCUCACCAAGGCGACGAUCCCUAGCUGGUCUGAGAGGAGGAUCAGCCACACUGGAACUGAGACACGGUCCAGACUCCUACGGGAGGCAGCAGUGGGGAAUAUUGCACAAUGGGGGAAACCCUGAUGCAGCCAUGCCGCGUGUGUGAAGAAGGCCUUCGGGUUGUAAAGCACUUUCAGCGAGGAGGAAAGGUCAGUAGCUAAUAUCUGCUGACUGUGACGUUACUCGCAGAAGAAGCACCGGCUAACUCCGUGCCAGCAGCCGCCGUAACAC
rnacentral:rRNA from 1 species